rnacentral:autocatalytically_spliced_intron from 4 species
UAAAGAUAUAGUCCGACCUCAUAAGCGAUUAUG